GUGGCGUCGCCGUGAGUCCCUCCUCCCUCCUGGUGAGUGCAGGGGCUUGGUUUUAAACUUGUUUACACGGAUGGUCCUGGUUUUCUCCCUGUCCGUGGCUCGGUUUCCUCGUCUGCAGGUCGUAGCUUCUUACUCGGAGAGCCCGAAGGCUCCGGGGUCCGCGGGCCUGCCUGUGCCCGAGGGGAGAUCAGCUCACAGGGAAGCCCCGUGGGGUUCCGGGCCGCUCUCCGCUCUCCCCUGGGUUCCAGCUCUGCCCGGGAACCUGAGCAAGCCACACCGGCCCUUAGGACCUCGACUGUUCCCAAGGCCCAUGCUACUCAGGCCUCCCCUGCCGCAGACCCAGGUGGCGGUGCUGGGGGCCCCAGGUCAAAGCUGGAGCUACAGGAGGAUUUGAGUGCUCCAAAUUCUACUCUCCGGAACCUGUGAAGAUGUGACCUCCAUGGCAAAGGGGAAUUAAAGGUGCAGAGGCCUGAGAGAGGUGAAAAUGAAGGAAAAAGGCACCAUCUGUGAAGCAGAGCAGCCAUUACCAGACACCCAAUCUGUUGGUAUCUUGACUUGGACUUCCCAGCCUCCAGAACUGCGAUGAGUAUAUUUCCGUUGUUUAUAAAUCACCUAAUCUAAAGUUUUUGGUUAUAGAAGCCCCUAACCACCUAAGACAGCCACAGCAGGGCUGCAGUGAGCAGUCUGGGACUUGGCACACAGUAGUGGCAGAGAGAUUAGGGAGAAGUUGACAAAUUGGGGACAAUGUUUCGAUGCAGGACCAGUGGUACUUGUGGCGGACUGGAUUAGGGACAGAAAGGGAAACUGAGGAACAAGGAUGAAUUUGAGAUUUUGACAGCAGACACUAGCUGCUUAGUGGUACCAUUUGCUGAUUUGAGGAAACCUCUGGGGUGAAUGAGGAAGUUGGGAUUUAAUUUUGUGAAAAACCUGAGUCUGAGGCACGUCGUGGAUGCUGUGGUAUGCUACCCCGAUGCCCCUUCAGCACUAUGUGCCCGUUCUCCUGUUGCCAGGAGUGGUGGCUUCCCACAGCAGGUCUGUCUCCGAGCACUGCCCUCAAGGAGUAGCCUUUUGAGGCCACACCCCUGCCUGUGAUGUACAAAGCCUUGCUUCCUUGUUCCUAUUUGGGGCAGCUCUGAAGGACCGUCCAGGUACACAGCUCCCUGUGGUCCUGGCUGACCCUUUGUUGUGCCUGCAUCAGAGUUGCCCAGCCUCCAUGGCCAGUGGUCUUCUCUAACUCCAUCCUGGUGUUCUCGAGGGCACCUCCCGAUGAACCUCUUGUCCACAAAUCUCCAGCUCAGAGACUGGCUUCUGAGGACCCACACUAAGGCAGCUGGUUCCAGGAGUGGUUCUAGAACACAGACCCUAAAAUAAGAUGUUGGAAUAGCAAUGACCCACCAGCUGGAUACAAGAACCCAGCUCAGGGGGCAGGACACUGUCAUUUGUAUGAGCAAUGGCGAAGCCUUCACUGAUGGUGCAUUUGGAAGAUGUGGAGAAAUCGCUAUGACAAAGUAAUGAAAUUAAAUGGCUGUUGCCAAAAGUUAGUGAUGCAAUGGAGAAAGAUAAUAAAAAUGCAGCGGCUGAUUAAUCACAUAUUAAAGGUGAAAUGUGAAAGUUAGAAAGCCACACUUUUAUAACUAGAGCUCAGAGAAAACUAAGGAUCAAGCAAGACUUUAAUGGAAAGACUCAGGAAGCUGCAGAGAAGGUUGGAUUGUCAGCCCCAGCAGACUGAUUAACUCCUGGGCAGGAUCCUGAUUAGGAAAGCAGGGGACUUUGAAAUUGGAAUGGGAUUAUUUAGAUCAAUUCCCUAAAAACGAUGAAGGCUCAUAUUCUCUGGAAUCUUCCCAGCCUGCAGCGGUGGCUCUCUCCUAUUAAUGCUAUCACUGCUUCCUUGUUUGAAGAUGAUGCUAGGGCAUCCACUUGUACAGUAACACCAGGCCCUCAGAAUUAAGAGUCUCCUCUACUUCCCGCUUGGCUACCAGAUAGACAACUAAGUCACGGCAUAACCCAGCUGGGGAAGAGAAGGCACUAGAUACCAAAGGCACAGCAAGGCCUGGCAAAAAAGUAUCUGUGGACACUGGCAGAGUGUGUGUAUGUGUGUGUGUGUGAGACUGGAUCUGGGGGUGUCAGCAACAACAUGGACUAAAGGGGCCAGGGAAAGUGGCGGGAGGAGUGCUGUCCAUGGACUGAACCCCCUGGCAAUGACCUGGGGAGGCAGAUGGCACAUGGGAUCUUGGGGAAAGUGACACCACACCAAGGAAAGUUGAAGUGCUAUGAUGGGUGGAGGGAACAGGGUUCAAAGGGCUCAGAGGAUGGAAGGUGUUAAUAACUGCAACAGGGCAGUGUAAGUAUCAGAUGAGUGUCAAGGUCAGGAUAACAGAACGGAGGUCCUGACCUGUCCACAGGUUUGGGAAUCAUUGGAACCAUCUUGUAGGGCAGGAUGGAUGGACAGCCAAAAGGAUAUGACUCAAUUUCUUCAGCAAAAAACGAUGGAUGGUCACAAGAGCAACCAUAACGUCAAUUACAAUGCCUCACUCAGUUUUCAUUCUGGGCUAGUUUUCAUGCCAGAAGCCAUGCACUAAAGGAGAGGCUGGGUCCUAGGAGGGGAAAGUAGCAAACAAUCCAUACCCACCUUUCCCCAAAGGGACCUUCAGUCAUUUCCUUCAUGAACAGAAAUGUACACAGACAUUUAGAGCAGCUGUGUCCAGCCUUUUUGGCAGCAGAGACUAGUUUCAUGGGAGACAGUUUUUCCACAGACGUGGUGAGGAUGUUUUCGGGAUUAGAUUCUCAUAAAAAGGGCACAACCUGAGUCCCUCACAUGUGCAGUUCACAGUAGGGUUAGUGCUUCCUUGAGAAUCUGAUGUUCUCCUUGGUCUAACCGGAGGUGCCCAGGCAGUAAUGUGAGUAAUGGACAGCAGCUGUAAAUACAGAUGAAACUUUGCUCAUGCAUGUGCUACUCAGAUUCUGCUGUAUGGCCAGCCUCUUAACAGGCCACAGGCCAAUACUUAUCCUUGGCUUGAGGAAUGGGGACAGUUGAUUUAGGGGACUGCUGAACCCAAGAUCCAAAUUCACACUGUAUUCUGGACCCAGUGCAUGGGUCUUUUAACAUGAAGGGGAUAUAGUUCAGAUAAUAAUUGGGUCCUGGUUCAGAUUUGGUUCAGUGUAGGUUCAGUGGGUCCAGAAAACUACCAGUGUUCAUUUCCCCUGUCUCUGAACGUAUAGUGAGAAUGGAUGAACUCAGUCCUUGGCCUGUGGAGUCAAGAGCUGUUGUGGUAGGGAAGGCCAAGUGGAAGCCUCUGAAACUGCCUCCCUCUCUCCAGGCAAGAGAACAAAUCAGCAGUGAUAUUGCAAUCCAGCAAAAAUCAGCACAUUUUAUUUAUUUACUCCCCCCAUGGUCCUGGAGAUUGAACCUAGGACCUCUCGCAUGCUAAACACAUGCUCUGCCACUGAGCUAAGUACCUCCAGCCCCAAGAAUGCCGUAUUUUCAUGUCAUGUCUAGAGAUCUAAAGAAUGCAGCAGUGCAUAAAGUCCCCGUCACAUUGUCAUGUAACCCAGCAACUUGUCUUCAAAAUAUAGAAUGCUUGUUGCCUGGUAGCAGAUCAUCACAAUUUUAACUAAGAACCCCAAAUGAAGUGCUGUGCCAGAUGUAGGAUUAUUGUGAGGGUAAAUCGACAUGGUUCCAACCCAAGGAGUAUGGGCAUUGCCUAGAAGAUGCAUUCUUUCCUAUCCCAAUGAAGACAGAGCAAAGCAGUUCACAUCUAGCACAGACAACAGUGUCAUUCACAUCUUCCCCAGGGCUGAUGUUGACUGUCCUGCUCUCUUAGGAAAUAGCGCGCUAUACAGUCCCUCCAUAGAUUGACCUCAUUCGUUGCAUCAUGCUGUGUUGUUAGGCCAGAAAAGCGAAAAGUGGUGAGUGACUUGGAGGAUGUAGUACAGACUCGUGCCCUCUACAGGGUGAGAGAUAAGCCCUAUGAAGAGUCAAAGACCCAUUGGACCAGUGAAGUUUUUAGGAGUGCGGUGGUCCAGGGUAUGUCAGGACAUUCUCUCCAGACACUUUAUUGAAUCUCGCUUCUCUAUCGUGAAGAAUGAAUGAUGACAAGCAGAAGUGUCUUUGGGUUUGGGGAUAGUCCAAGGAGAAUCAUUCCCAGCAGCAGGACCAAGCCUAAUGGAAUGGGCUGGACCUUAGACCCUCUGGACAGUGACUCCCAUGCACCUCCCCGGCCCUCCUCCUGAAGUAGUGGCAUCUCUGGCAGGUGUCCUAUGCCCGUUUUACCAUUUCCUCUUGGGUAUCUGGGUGGAGGGAGACGAUAUUUCGUUUUAGUCCACAGAUCCAGAGAGAGACUGUUCAGGGGCUGUGCCUGGGGGAGCACAUUGUAGAGCCUCAGCUGCACCCAAUUCAGAAGCUGCAACCCUGGGCCUUGAGCCUGGGCCAGAGGCUGACAUAGGAGGAGGCUUUGGAGGUGGGAUGUGGGAAGGGUGAAUGUCUUACAUGUCACCUGGCCUGGGCCAAAUGAUGCCCAGCUAGCCCUGGGCCAAAGCUACCACAUGGGUAUUUCUGUCAGUGUUUCCAGAAGAGAUUAGUGUUUGAAUCAGUAAACAAAGUAAAACAAUCUGCGCGCACCAGGAUGGGCGGGCAUUAUCCACUCCCUUGAGGGCCAGAAUAGAACAGGAAGGCAGAGAAAGGGUGGCUUUCUGGCUCUCUGCUGUAGCUCUGUGUGACUCAUGGAGGGAGGGUCUCAUGGAGCUGGGAGAUUCAUAUUUUCUGGUCCUGAGGGGUCAGAGCUCCUGAUUCUCAAACCUUAGGACCUGGACUGAAUUCUACCACCAGCUUUCCUGAGGCUUAUGGGACUUCAUGGAGCCGAUUCCCAAAAUAAAUCUCCUCUCACGUGUUUCUCUAUGUGUGUACCCUGUGGUUUCUCUCUCUCUGGAGGAUGUGUGUAUAUGGAUAUUCCAGAACCGGCCGCCGUAAUAUCCCCAUCCCCUCUGUUCUUCCAGAGCCUCACCAAGUCUUUGGCACGCGGCUGACUCUGGCAUGGGCCCUUGCGACUGCCUCGUUAUUAGAGUAUGACAGAAGUGACAGGGCUCCCAUGAAUGUCCCUCUGCUUUCUCUCAGGAUGUCUGCCACUGGAGCCCGCCACCAUGCCACAGGCUAGCAAGGGGCCGCUGGGAGAGGCCACUCGGAGGUCUUCUGGCUGGCAGCCCUAGCUGAGGAUCUUAAGGACCGCAGACAUCAGCUGCCACGUGUGCAAACGUGUGAGCCUUCUGUUCAUUCCACGCCGUGUGUGUUCUCGGCCACACCAGCAGAAGCGAGCUGUUCCCACUGACCCCUGCCAAAGGCGCGGGUCUGGGACCACUCUGAAGGAGUGGAGAGGUCGAGGUUGGCAGUUCUAGGAAGCGCGAAGUCCCUAACAGAAGCUCACUCGCCAUCUGCUGAAGGGGACUGGGUCAAUUUCAUCUCACAAGUGAAACGCCCGGGCCCACCCCACAUUUAAAGGAAUUGCAUGCCAGAGCUGGCUGGCCGGGGAUCAGAGCAGGAAGGGCUGCAUUCUACUGGGUGUCGGUCGGCCAGCACCAAGAAGUAAAACAAAAACUACCAUGGGUACAGUACAUAAUGUCAGUUAACUAAUGGAAAAUAUAUACAUUUGACUCUGCAAUGAAAAGAGAGAGAGCAACGAUAUUAUUGGCAUUGAGGAUCUUUCCUGUCUUCUGCUGAUAUCAAGCCAUGGUCAACCAAGAGGGUUUCAUUCGCACCAAUGAAAAUAGCACCAUAAGAUCACAAGAUGCUAGUUGUUGACACAUCUGUGUGACCACAGAGAGCACCCAAGGAGUGUUCUCAGCACUCAUCCAUUCAAGUGGAUCCAAAUAAAUUCCCUGCCAUCCCUCCCCCUUCUCCGCUAUGGGAUAGUAAAAAUUAAAAAACAAAACAACCAAACAGCACCAAUAAAUCAAGAAGCACCUGGAGACCAUCCCACAGAACUGACCCAAGGAAGAGCCCCUGUCUGAAAACAGGGAGGAGAAAGUGUGUCUCUCCAGGAUCUUGCUGAGCUGAUCAGGCAGGACUCAAACUUGUGAUCCUCCUGCUGCGGGCUUCUGAAUGCUCUUCUACAGAACUGACAAGUGCCAGCCUCUCCAGGGCUCAGUGAAAGCCCAAGAAGGUGGCUUUCCGGCUUACAAAAUUCCACGGCCAGCAGGGACUCCCUGGCCCGGGGACACAGGGCCCCUGGAGACCAGGCCCAAGGGAGGCACUCACCGAGGCGAGGGGAGGUGAUGGUGUUCACAUUGAUCUUGUCGUUGCAGACCUCCUGGUGACACUGUCUGUAGGCUGCUGGCUUCAAGAGGGUGGGACACUCGCUGCCGUGACGCCCAGUGACUUUGUGCAUGCACUGCACCACCCGGGACUGCAGCCCCUUCCCGCAGGUAGACGAGCACUGUGGAGAGAGGGACAGCCUGAGCUGAAGGGCGGGGCGGGCGCCCCUCCGUGCAGCUGCCCUUGCGCCUGCCUCCACGUCACAUAGUGCCUGCGAUAUUUGCAGGGCAGUGAGCCCAGCUGCCUGCUGGAAGACUGUUUCACCAUGCAGGGACUACACGUUUAGGUCCUGUCCCCAAAUUCAUGUCGCUUCCCUGCCCUGAAGUGGGAUAGUAUUAGGAGGGAGGGAUUUGGAAGUGAUCAGGUUAGAUGAAGUCAUGAUGGCAGGACCCUCACGCUGGGACUAGUGUCCUUGCAGGAAGGGAAAGAGACUGGCACGUUCCCUGAACUACGUGAGGACACAGAAAGACAGCUGUGUGCAGCAUGGAGGACGGCCUUCACUACACACCAGCUUCCCUGGCCCCUGGACCUUGGACUUCCAGCCUUUGGAACUGUGUGAAAUAAAGCCACCUCUGGUAUUUUGUGACAGCAGCCCAGGCUAAGACACAAGAUGACUACUGAAAUAUCCAUUUAUCCUGGUUGCCUUUCAUCUCUUGCCCCGGUUCUGAGCACACAGCUGGGCUUUGAAACUCUCCAGACAGUGGCGGGAUGGUUCAGUGGACCCAGAAGGGCCUGAUCAACACAGGGGUCGCCCAAGCAUUUCCCGCUGCCUGAGCCUCUGGAGCCUUUGCCGGUCCUGGGCACGGAGAGGGGCCCAGUCAUGGAUUUCCCACAGCCUGGAGGUUUGGGCCAAGGAUUAAGUUAAAAUAAAAUGCAACCUUUCUUGUAUAGCAGAGUCCCGGACUCAUAUUUGAGACCACCAGUUAAUUUUGACACCAAAUCCCCAGUUACUGGCAUUUCCAGCACAGGACGCCCAGUUUACAAGAAGGUCAGUGUGGCUGGACAGAUGAUCCCAAGUUCCCAGGGAGUGAACUGGGGUGAAGGAUUAUGUGUUCUGUGCUUCUGUUCUCCCUUCUGUUCUUCACGUUCUUUUAAAGUGCAUCGUGACCUUUCAGUCAACCAUGGAUGACACACGACAGUGGUCCCAGAAGAUUUUAAUGGAGCUAAUAACUUCCUAUCACUGGGUGAUGUCAUAACUGUCCUGAUGUCAAAGCUUAAUACAUCAGUCACAUGGUGGUGAUGCUGGUAUAAACAAACCUGCUGCCCUGCCAGCCGUAUCUAAAGAACAGCACAGUCAGUUACGUUCAGGAUGUAGCACUUGGUAACAAAUGGCUUUGGUACUGGCUAUGUCACAUCA